UACUUCGUGCAGGGGUGCCACACUGGCUGAGAUGCUUACUCGCAAUCCCUUAUAACCUGAUCUAGGUCAUUCUAGCGUAGGGAGCCACAUUCUGGUUUUCG
rfam:Firmicutes bacterium CAG:536 genomic scaffold, scf149